rnacentral:rRNA from 1 species
CCUACGGGCGGCAGCAGUGGGGAAUAUUGGACAAUGGGCGAAAGCCUGAUCCAGCCAUGCCGCGUGUGUGAAGAAGGCCUUCGGGUUGUAAAGCACUUUCAGUGGGGAAGAAAGCCUUGGGGCUAAUACCCUCGAGGAAGGACAUCACCCACAGAAGAAGCACCGGCUAACUCCGUGCCAGCAGCCGCGGUAAUACGGAGGGUGCGAGCGUUAAUCGGAAUUACUGGGCGUAAAGCGCGCGUAGGCGGUCUGAUAAGCCGGUUGUGAAAGCCCCGGGCUCAACCAGGGAACGGCAUCCGGAACUGUCAGGCUAGAGUGCAGGAGAGGAAGGUAGAAUUCCCGGUGUAGCGGUGAAAUGCGUAGAGAUCGGGAGGAAUACCAGUGGCGAAGGCGGCCUUCUGGACUGACACUGACGCUGAGGUGCGAAAGCGUGGGUAGCAAACAGGAUUAGAUACCCCUGUAGUC